rnacentral:rRNA from 1 species
AUUGAACGCUGGCGGCAUGCCUUACACAUGCAAGUCGAACGGCAGCAUGGAGAGCUUGCUCUCUGAUGGCGAGUGGCGAACGGGUGAGUAAAGCAUCGGAACGUACCGUGUAGUGGGGGAUAACGUAGCGAAAGUUACGCUAAUACCGCAUACGCACUGAGGUGGAAAGCCGGGGAUCGUAAGACCUUGCGCCAUCCGAGCGGCCGAUGUCAGAUUAGCUAGUUGGUUGGGUAAAGGCCUACCAAGGCGACGAUCUGUAGCGGGUCUGAGAGGAUGAUCCGCCACACUGGGACUGAGACACGGCCCAGACUCCUACGGGAGGCAGCAGUGGGGAAUAUUGGACAAUGGGGGCAAGCCUGAUCCAGCCAUGCCGCGUGAGUGAAGAAGGCCUUCGGGUUGUAAAGCUCUUUCGGCCGGGAAGAAAUCGCACAGGCUAAUACCCUGUGUGGAUGACGGUACCGGCAUAAGAAGCACCGGCUAACUACGUGCCAGCCGCCGCUGUAA